CGGGGAGGGAGGGGGAGGGGCCGGGAGCUGGGGGUAAGGGAGGAGUGAGCCUGGGUGCUGUGGGGGGAGGGGGUUGUUCAAGGGAUGGGGACGAUCAGGGUCUCUGGGAAGUGCUGACGUGUGCGCGUGUGCGGUGUGUUGCUUGUGGGUGCGUGUGUGGUGUGUGCAUGUGUGUGCGCGCGCGUGUGUGCGGGGUGUGCCGUGAGCGUGUGCCCGCGGUUCGGGGGAUGAGUAGGGGCGCUGACUUUUAGGACCAGCCAUUUGAGUCAAGCUGGAGACGACGUCUUAGAACCUAGGAUGAGUCUCGUUUGGUUUUAGUCUGCAAAGCUCGUCUGCAUCAGACAGGAAUUUUCCCCAGACGCGGGUGCACGUGAAUUAAUUCAUCAGAAGGCGGUUCACGGCCUGAGUGAGGGGGACGAGGGCGGCGAAUUCCUCCGCCUCAUUCCUACCCUGACGAUUCGAGAGUGGCUGUACCAUUUUGCAUUCCCAGACCGAAGUGUGAAAGCUCCAGAUGCCCCACGCCCUCACCAGCCCACGGUGUUGUCAGCCUUAAUAGUGCUGACCAUUCUGGUGGGUUUGCAGUGUAUCUCAUUGUGUUUUAAUUUGCAUUACCUUGACAACUAAUGGCGUUGAGACUUUCAUAUAUCUUUAGUAAAGAGUCCUUCCAAAU
rnacentral:lncRNA from 1 species